GUAUAUCCUUUUCUUUGUUGAUUGCUUUUUCCUUAUGAUUUAAACAAAGAUUUUUUGGGUCUUAUGAUAUCAUACAGUGGCCACGUUCUUGUUCUUAUUUACAAGUUUGUUUAAAGAGUUUUUCUAAUCAAAGUUUGUCUUAUGAUAUCAUACAGUGGCCACGUUCUUGUUCUUAUUUUCAAGUUUGUUUAAAAUCACUGCUUUCUUAUUCAGCAAGUUGAAUUUUAACCACAAUAAUUUUCAGUUUUAUUUCUUUUAUUUUAUUUUUAAUUAACCAUAAUGCAUUACAAUCUGGGAAUUGAUCACAUGGUCCUAAAAGGACUACAUCAGCUGCUUGACUUGAAAUCAAAAGGAGAGCCAAACAAAAGGAUCCAAUUAGUAGAAUGGAUUUGUUAAUAGCCAUUUUCUCAAAUCAGAGGAUUUUUUUCGUCUGUGUGUUUGUCUGUCUUAUUUUGUGUGCAUUUUCAGUUUUAUUUGCCGAAACUUCAAAGUGUUUUUCCCCUUACAAAAGCUUGUUUACAACCAGACAUGGGUAGGAAUGGUCUUCGGAAAAAAAUUAGUCAGUUGAUUGAUAAUGGUAAUAUGGAACCUCCUAAGAGUGCUCAAGCGACGCCGGUUAAAGAAAAUUUGCCCACACAACAGGUGGAAGAACUUGUUUAUCCGGGAAGCGUGGACACGCUAGGUGAGAUUGAAAUUAGCUACCAUUAUGGUGGUUAUUUUGUAUUCUCGCCUUCUAGAAAAUAUGUAAACGGGAUCGAAAUAUUAGUGAAUAUUUCGGGGGUAGACCAACGAAGGUACAACUCAUAAAGCAAUUAGAAUCGACAAGAAAGGAAUCGAACGAGCAUGUGGAAGAAAUUAAAAGGGAAGCUAAGGAGAAAAUUGAAGAAAUGAAGAAAGAAACGGAUAAUAAGAUAGCAAAGUUGGAGAAACAAUGGGCAGCAAAAUUUCAAAUGUUGGUUGCAGCUCAAGGCCGACAAUCAAAUGAUGCAAAUCUAACCCUUGUGGAGUAGUGAUGGAAGCAUCAAAUCGAUGGGGACAUGAAGAAUUAUUUUUUCUCUUGCAAAAGUAUAUUGAUAUGUUUGAAUAAAGUGAUGUUUCACUAUUUUGGAUGACAUUGUUGAACCUUGUUACAUCUUUUUUCUAAUUUAUGCAUUUAUUACACAAUUAAAGAUAUAUUGCUA